rnacentral:misc_RNA from 1 species
GAUGAAGAACGUAGCGAAAUGCGAUAAGUAAUGUGAAUUGCAGAAUUUAGUGAAUCAUCGAAUCUUUGAACGCACAUUGCGCCCGCCAGAAUACUGGCGGGCAUGCCUGUUCGAGCGUCAUUUCAACCAUCAAGCCCCAGGCUUGUGUUGGGGACCUGCGGCUGCCGCAGGCCCUGAAAACCAGUGGUGGGCUCGCUGUCACACCGGGCGUAGUAGAUUUUAUCUCGCUCAGGGCGUGCUGCGGGUUCCGGCCGUUAAAAAGCCUUUUUUACCCAAGGUUGACCUCGGAUCAGGUAGGAAGACCCGCUGAACUUAAGCAUAUCAAUAAGCGGAGGA